CACCAGGAAGCUAAACACGGGCAAUAGCGUUAGCCUUUUAAGCUAAAGAUUGGUGACUCCCUACCACCUCUGGUGA
rnacentral:tRNA from 1 species